AAUCAACGCUGGCGGCGCGCUUAACACAUGCAAGUCGCACGAGAAAGGGGAGCAAUCCCUGAGUACAGUGGCGCACGGGUGAGUAACACGUGGGUAAUCCACCCUUUAGUGGGGAAUAACCCUGGGAAACCGGGGCUAAUACCGCAUAAGCCUGAGAAGGGAAAGCAGCAAUGCGCUGAAGGAGGAGCUCGCGGCCGAUUAGCUAGUUGGUGAGGUAACGGCUCACCAAGGCGACGAUCGGUAGCCGGCCUGAGAGGGCACACGGCCACACUGGCACUGAAACACGGGCCAGACUCCUACGGGAGGCAGCAGUGGGGAAUCUUGCACAAUGGGGGAAACCCUGAUGCAGCGACGCCGCGUGAGCGAUGAAGCCCUUCGGGGUGUAAAGCUCUUUCGACGGGAACGAUAAUGACGGUACCGGAAGAAGAAGCCCCGGCUAACUUCGUG
rnacentral:rRNA from 1 species